GACGAACGCUGGCGGCGUGCUUAACACAUGCAAGUCGAACGGAAAGGCCCCUUUGGGGGUACUUGAGUGGCGAACGGGUGAGUAACACGUGCGUAACCUGCCCUUGACUUCGGGUUAACUUCAGGAAACUGGGGCUAAUACCGGCUAGGAAUCCUUGCCGCAUGGUGGGGGUUGGAAAGCUUCGGCGGUUGUGGAUGGACUCGCGGCUUAUCAGCUUGUUGGUGGGGUAGUGGCUUACCAAGGCUUUGACGGGUAGCCGGCCUGAGAGGGCGACCGGCCACAUUGGGACUGAGAUACGGCCCAGACUCCUACGGGAGGCAGCAGUGGGGAAUAUUGCACAAUGGGCGGAAGCCUGAUGCAGCAACGCCGCGUGCGGGAUGACGGCCUUCGGGUUGUAAACCGCUUUCAGCAGGGGCGAAGCUUUUGUGACGGUACCGGCAGAAGAAGCACCGGCUAACUACGUG
rnacentral:rRNA from 1 species